rnacentral:rRNA from 1 species
GAUGAACGCUGGCGGCGUGCCUAAUACGUGCAAGUAGAACGCUGAAGGAGGAGCUUGCUCUUCUGGAUGAGUUGCGAACGGGUGAGUAACGCGUAGGUAACCUGCCUGGUAGCGGGGGAUAACUAUUGGAAACGAUAGCUAAUACCGCAUGACAACAGUUAUUGCAUGAUAACUGUUUAAAAGGGGCAACUGCUCCACUACCAGAUGGACCUGCGUUGUAUUAGCUAGUUGGUGAGGUAACGGCUCACCAAGGCGACGAUACAUAGCCGACCUGAGAGGGUGAUCGGCCACACUGGGACUGAGACACGGCCCAGACUCCUACGGGAGGCAGCAGUAGGGAAUCGGCGGCAAUGGACGGAAGUCUGACCGAGCAACGCCGCGUGAGUGAAGAAGGUUUUCGGAUCGUAAAGCUCUGUUGUAAGAGAAGAACGAGUGUGAGAGUGGAAAGUUCACACUGUGACGGUAUCUUACCAGAAAGGGACGGCUAACUACGUG